rnacentral:rRNA from 1 species
UGGCAGGUACAGCGGGAAGCCACCUGGCGACAGGGAGCGGAACCCGAAAGCCUGUCUCAGUUCGGAUUGGAGUCUGCAACCCGACUCCAUGAAGCUGGAUUCGCUAGUAAUCGCGCAUCAGCCACGGCGCGGUGAAUACGUUCCCGGGCCUUGUACACACCGCCCGUCAAGCCAUGGAAGCCGGGGGUGCCUGAAGUGCGCUGCCGCAAGGAGCGCCCUAGGGUAAAACCGGUGACUGGGGCUAAGUCGUAACAAGGUACC